CAUAAUCCCUUCAAUCACCUCCCUUUUAUUGAACCCCUUGGAUGCCAAAACCAAUAAUUGAUAUGAAAGCAAAGGCAAGUCCUGCAAGUCCACGUUCUUCAUUCCCUUGAACACCUUCUCCAACAACUCCCUCGCUCUAACCUUAUCAAGAAAUCCUGCAAGUUCCCUUGCAAGAAAAACCAUCUUCACCAACACUACUUUUGACCAUUCACUCUCAAAAAUCCUAUCCAAUAUCAAAUUAGCACAUUCCUUUCCUUUCUCAGCACACAAGCAGCUAAAACAACCAGGAAGAAUAUCGAGUAUCUGGGUAUCUUCGGAACCCAAUAAUUUUGACAAAUCCAUUACAAUUGACUCAACAAUAAACUCGAGAUCUUUGACAGGGACGUAUUUUAAUAGAGUGGCGAAGAGAUUGAUUGUUUUGAGGGAAUUGGGAUCGUG
rnacentral:misc_RNA from 1 species